UACGGAGGGUGCAAGCGUUAUCCGGAUUCACUGGGUUUAAAGGGUGCGUAGGUGGGCAGGUAAGUCAGUGGUGAAAUCUCCGGGCUUAACCCGGAAACUGCCAUUGAUACUAUAGAUCUUGAAUUUUGUUGAGGUAGGCGGAAUAUGUCAUGUAGCGGUGAAAUGCAUAGAUAUGACAUAGAACACCGAUUGCGAAGGCAGCUUACUAAGCAAAUAUUGACGCUGAGGCACGAAAGCGUGGGGAUCAAACAGG
rnacentral:rRNA from 1 species